GUGGUUUCAUCUAAUAUUAAUUGUUUUAACCUCUGGUGGUUUAAGUGGUUUUAUUGGCAGGAAGAUGCAGGCAGCAGCGCAUUAGCGGCGAAGGCUUCGGAUUGCGCUCACAGGGGAAACAAUGGGCUGGAAUUUGAGAAAACAAACCCAAGAUGUUAAUUAGCCGCUAAGGCACUCGGGGCAUUUUGCAAAUAUUAACAUAGCCUACUUGUAAACUCCCGAGGGCUGCGACUUCGUUAUUUGUUUGGCACGCUUUUUAUUUAUAAUGCAUUGUGGUGUCAUUUCGAGUUGUAAAUAAUUUCUCGAGAAAGUGGGGAAAAGGGUGAUCAAUAGAGAGAAAGGAAAUUCUUUUUCCUCCAUCUCACUGUGUUCUUCUGCAUUUUUGCAGACUUCCAUGGAUCUCAGAGAAAACCGUCUAUUCUAAAGAGGAACAAGGUUGAUCCACCGGCCCAGUGCAAGUACUACUUUCUCUCCAAAACCUCUUAUGCCUUCAACCCACUGAGAUUGCCCUCCUUUGAAUUCAGGUAGUAUGUGUGCUGUGUUCUUUAAAUAGAGGAGAUGAACAAUGCAUGUUGUUUGAAUUCAUUCAUUGGAUUUAUCCUAUUUAGGAAUUGGACUUGGAACAUAUCUAAUUUCCUCUCUCUUGGGAAAAUAGUUCCCAGAAUGAAGAUCGUACAUGGAGCAAAACUGAAGAUGACAUGCAUAUAACGAGAGGAAAAAAAAAUAAGCCUUUUUUUUUUUUUUUUUUUUAAAG